AAAUCCCAACACACAUAUGCAAGUAUGAAAAUAAUGGAUCUUUUUAAGUUGGAGAUACUUUUAAAAGGAAGAGGUUGAUAUGCAGUAAAAACUUUAUCAACUAUAGGGUGAAAUACUUGACUAGAGACAACUGACUGGCUGGAAUGCCUAACUCUUCUGAGAGAACUGAUCAUUAAAUAACUUCCAGAAACUUCAUUUCCAUCCCAAUUGCCAUUUUAUGUAAUUUUCUAACAUUGAAACAACAGCUCUUCUCCUUGUUAAAAAAAAUGUCAGUCCCACCUCACAAACAACAUCGCAGUUUUGACUAAUCUCUAUAAUCAGAAGCUAAUUUGCCAUAAGAAUAACAACGUAACAAUGUGCCCACUAUGAAAGAGCAUGCUUUUAUCAUUUUCUUUGCCGGUGAGGGAGUAUGUCAAGUCUGGAUGCGGAGGGGAGGAGAAGCUGUGGAAAUCUGCCCUGUGUGUUCUGUGGAAGCCGCGUGGAACUGCAGAGGAGGCCCUUCUGCUGAGGAGGAGAGCCGAAUUCCACCCCCUGUGACAAGGACUUAUUUUCUACAGAUUGGCUGAAACAUUGGAAAACAGCCUAGGCUGGAGGAAAAUUUGUACAAACCUGGACCAAAUGGCUGGGGAAGUCAGCAAUCCAUUCACAUCCCCAGAGACAAAAUUUGCUGGUGCCAGAGUGACCCCUCUAAAUCAGGCCAUCGCCUCCUAAAUGGACAAAGAUGGUCACUUGGUUAUUUGUGGUGAUGCAUGAGGGAAAAUGCAGCCACAGAUUUCUCACAAAUCGCAGAGAACAAGCUGGAUCCUGAAGUCUUCUUUUCCAUGUGCUUGGAGGCAUUCAGGGACAUGGCAGAAAAAUUAGAGAGCUGAGGAUUACUCAUCUUAUCUGUAAGAUAUCGCCUCUCGGCUGUUCUGCAAUUACGAGGAGUGUUCCUGGAGCUGGUGUUGGUUGGGAGAAGGCUGGAUUGCAAAGCAAGAUAAUCAGGCACAAUUGAAUUAACUAAAGAAUAAGUGUCAGCCUUAAUUGCGAUCCUCUUCAUUUCAUUA